AGCCGCCGAGCGGAGACCCGGGCGCGGGAGCUGGGCCUAGGUCGGCGCCCUGGAGGGAGGUGUAGAAAGAGGUACAUGGAGAACAAGUUUGUCAAUCUCUCUGAACUUCAGCUGCCUUACCUGUAAGGCAGCCGUGUCUGUGUUUUUGUCUCGCAGAAUUAGAGCCCAUUGGGAACGAUGCCACCACCGUCAGACAUUGUCAAAGUGGCCAUUGAGUGGCCAGGUGCUAACGCCCAGCUCCUUGAAAUCGACCAGAAACGGCCCCUGGCAUCCAUUAUCAAGGAAGUUUGUGAUGGGUGGUCGUUGCCAAACCCAGAGUAUUAUACCCUCCGUUACGCAGAUGGUCCUCAGCUGUACAUCACCGAACAGACUCGCAGUGACAUUAAGAAUGGGACAAUCUUACAACUGGCUAUCUCCCCGUCCCGGGCUGCACGCCAGCUGAUGGAGAGGACCCAGUCAUCCAACAUGGAGACCCGGCUGGAUGCCAUGAAGGAGCUGGCCAAGCUCUCUGCCGACGUGACUUUCGCUACUGAGUUCAUCAACAUGGAUGGCAUCAUUGUGCUGACAAGGCUCGUGGAAAGUGGAACCAAGCUCUUGUCCCAAUUGCAGGGUAUGUGAGCCAGCCCAUGGUGGACGUGUCAAUCCUUCAGAGGUCCCUGGCCAUCCUGGAGAGCAUGGUCUUGAACAGCCAGAGUCUGUACCAGAAGAUAGCUGAGGAAAUCACCGUGGGACAGCUCAUCUCACACCUCCAGGUCUCCAACCAGGAGAUUCAGACCUACGCCAUUGCACUGAUUAAUGCACUUUUUCUGAAGGCUCCUGAGGACAAACGACAGGAUAUGGCCAAUGCAUUUGCACAGAAGCAUCUCCGGUCUAUAAUCCUGAAUCAUGUGAUCCGAGGGAACCGGCCCAUCAAAACUGAGAUGGCCCAUCAGCUGUAUGUCCUUCAAGUCCUAACCUUUAACCUUCUAGAAGAAAGGAUGAUGACCAAGAUGGACCCCAAUGACCAGGCUCAAAGAGACAUCAUAUUUGAACUGAGGAGGAUUGCAUUUGAUGCAGAGUCUGAUCCUAGCAAUGCCCCUGGGAGUGGGACCGAAAAACGCAAAGCCAUGUACACAAAGGACUACAAAAUGCUGGGAUUUACCAACCACAUCAAUCCAGCCAUGGACUUUACCCAGACUCCUCCUGGAAUGCUGGCCUUGGACAACAUGCUGUACUUGGCUAAAGUCCACCAGGACACCUACAUCCGGAUU
rnacentral:sRNA from 1 species